CGCUGAGGUGCGGAGCGCCGUGGGAUCCCGCUGCCCUGGGCGUGGCGCUUCAACCCGUUAGGCCUUUUGUUACAUCGUGGGAACUGCUGCUGUGGAUCCGCGGGAAAACUUGAGAGAUGUUUCCUGUGUUCGUGCUUAGUUUUUGAGUCAAGAGCCGCAGCAGGUAUGUGUAGUACCAACUUGACACUGCAAUAUUCUUGAAAAUCCUGUGGGCCCACAGGAUGGAAGCAUCAGAGCAUGGGACUGGUAUCUCAGUGGAACAUGAGACACAUGACCUGUAACAAGAAGGCUUUGUCCUCUGUGCAACAGCAGCCAGAUCAGUGAGUAACUGAAGAAGGCAACCUGCUGAUUGUAACACAGCAUGGGAAACAACAUGUUGAGAUUGCACCUGCGUCUUGUGAAAGUCACAUUGCACCUCUCAGGAGUAAUGCUGAAUCCUUAAGGUGGCACUGUGUGUACCAGCACUGAUGUUCUGCAAGGACUAGAAGAAACUUCUGAGGGAAGCACACUGGUCAAGGCUGCCAUGUAUGGAACUGUGAGUAUGAAGACAGACCAGGGCACCAGACCACCUGCAAUAGCAAUGAUCAGUUCCAUGGAGAAAGCUUGGAGAAAGCUGUUCCAUAGAAACUUUUAGGUCAGUAAUACA
rnacentral:lncRNA from 1 species